AGGAGCCGUCAUUCUUACGGGGCCGGCAAAAGGAGAAAUUGCAUUUAUUCCAAGAAUUCCCGUGAUUCCGUCGGACUUGCCGUUUCCGUUCAAACGGCUUUAAUUCUCUGUUAAAGUUUCUUUGGCAAUCACGAUAAACAAAGCUCAAGGUCAAACAUACAGGUACGUUGGCGUAGGUCUUCGAACACAGUGCUUUUCACAUGGACAAUUAUACGUGGGAUUUUCUCGAACUGGGGACCCGAAGCAUCUUAUGAUUUUAAUUUCAACAGGAGAUAAAACAAAAAACGCCAUAUACUCAGAAGUUUUAUAAAAUUUUUUAUCAACCGUAAAUUACUCAGCAUUUCUUUUGUAUCUGCAUUCAUUUUUAGUAAAAAUAUAUUUGUCAUUAAUCCCGCUUGAAACAUUUCAAUACGUUUUCAUUAACCGUUUUUUUUUUUUUUUAUAUUAAUUUGCCGAUAUUAUUAAACGAUAGAAUUUGAUUAAAAAGUUCUAUAUAUCAUUAUCCAAAGGCAAAUUAAACAACCAAUCACGGGUGAAGCCGUGACGGGUCGGCUAGUAUAUAAUAUAAAAUUAUAACUCAAGUUGCUUGUGUACUUCACAAUUUAAUCAUGGAUAACGAACAUAAUUUAACUGAUAUUCAUAAUGAAAUGGAAACAAUCUUUUCGCAGUUAUACCAAGAAGAUGUCAAUAAAUCUACAAAUCACAGAUCGUUAAGAAGACAUCAAUAUCCAUGUUUUCAUGGAUAUUGAAAAGUUUAUGAAAUAUUUCAACUCAGAAAUAGGAUCAGUUCCAUGGCAAAAUGUAUACAUUGUUAAUUAAAGCUAAAUCCGGUUUAUUAUCAUAUAAUAAAUACUACUACGGAACAGAGUAAUAAACAUUUAUCAAUAA